rnacentral:rRNA from 1 species
UGUAAGCGUAUACCAAUGUUGUUGCAGUUAAAACGCUCGUAGUCGGAAUUUGGCAGUUCCGGAUGUGUGCACGUCGUGUGCGCACUUCGCGGGGAUUGCUUUUGUGGUCUUGCGUAGGAUGAGGCACUUUUAUUAGUGAACGUCCUCACGCAACCACUUUUUACUGUGAGAAAAUCAGAGUGCUCAAAGCAGGCAUUUGCCGUGAAUGUAUUAGCAUGGAAUAAUAGAAUAGGACUUGGUUCUAUUUUGUUGGUUUGUUGGGACUGAGUAAUGAUUAAGAGGGACAGUUGGGGGCAUUUGUAUUUCGGUGCUAGAGGUGAAAUUCUUAGAUUACCGAAAGACAAACUGCUGCGAAAGCGUCUGCCAAGGAUGUUUCCAUUGA